rnacentral:rRNA from 1 species
GAUGAACGCUGGCGGCGUGCUUAACACAUGCCAGUCGAACGAUGAAGCCCAGCUUGCUGGGUGGAUUAGUGGCGAACGGGUGAGUAACACGUGAGUAACCUGCCCUUAACUCUGGGAUAAGCCUGGGAAACUGGGUCUAAUACCGGAUAGGAGCGUCCACCGCAUGGUGGGUGUUGGAAAGAUUUAUCGGUUUUGGAUGGACUCGCGGCCUAUCAGCUUGUUGGUGAGGUAAUGGCUCACCAAGGCGACGACGGGUAGCCGGCCUGAGAGGGUGACCGGCCACACUGGGACUGAGACACGGCCCAGACUCCUACGGGAGGCAGCAGUGGGGAAUAUUGCACAAUGGGAGCAAGCCUGAUGCAGCGACGCCGCGUGAGGGAUGACGGCCUUCGGGUUGUAAACCUCUUUCAGUAGGGAAGAAGCGAAAGUGACGGUACCUGCAGAAGAAGCACCGGCUAACUACGUG